GAUGAACGCUGGCGGCGUGCCUAAUACAUGCAAGUCGAGCGAACAGACGAGGAGCUUGCUCCGCUGACGUUAGCCGCGGACGGGUGAGUAACACGUGGAUAACCUACCUGUAAGACUGGGAUCACUUCGGGAAAGCGGAGCUAAUACCGGAGAAUAUAUUGAACCGCAUGGUUCAAUAGUGAGAGACGGUUUUGCGGGCACGUAUAGAGGGAUCUGCGCCGCAUUAGCGAGUUGGUGAGGUAACGGCCUACCAAGGGAACUAUGCGUUGCCGACCUGUGAGGGUGAUCGGCGACCUUGGAACGUAGACGCGGUCCUGACUCCUACGGGAGGGCGCAGUCGGGAAUCUUCCGCAGUGGGCGAAAGCCUGACGGAGUAACGGCGCGCGUGAGAUGAAGGUCUUCGGAUCGUAAAACUCUGUUAUUAGUGAUGAACAAAUGUGGAAGUAACUGUGCACGGCUUGACGGUACCUAGUCAGAAAGCCCCGGCUAACUACGUG
rnacentral:rRNA from 1 species